rnacentral:rRNA from 1 species
UGCAGUCGAGCGCAGGAAGCAAACAGAUCUCUUCGGAGUGAUGUUUGUGGAAUGAGCGGCGGACGGGUGAGUAACACGUAGGUAACCUGCCUGUAAGACUGGGAUAACUCGCGGAAACGCGAGCUAAUACCGGAUAACACUUUUCCCCUCCUGGUGAGAAGUUGAAAGGCGGCUUCGGCUGUCACUUACAGAUGGACCUGCGGCGCAUUAGCUAGUUGGUGAGGUAACGGCUCACCAAGGCGACGAUGCGUAGCCGACCUGAGAGGGUGAUCGGCCACACUGGGACUGAGACACGGCCCAGACUCCUACGGGAGGCAGCAGUAGGGAAUCUUCCGCAAUGGACGAAAGUCUGACGGAGCAACGCCGCGUGAGUGAUGAAGGUUUUCGGAUCGUAAAACUCUGUUGUUAGGGAAGAACAAGUGCCAUAGUAACUGAUGGCACCUUGACGGUACCUAACCAGAAAGCCACGGCUAACUACGUGCCAGCAGCCGCGGUAAUACGUAGGUGGCAAGCGUUGUCCGGAAUUAUUGGGCGUAAAGCGCUCGCAGGCGGUUCUUUAAGUCUGAUGUGAAAUCUUGCGGCUCAACCGUAAACGUGCAUUGGAAACUGGAGGACUUGAGUGCAGAAGAGGAGAGUGGAAUUCCACGUGUAGCGGUGAAAUGCGUAGAGAUGUGGAGGAACACCAGUGGCGAAGGCGACUCUCUGGUCUGUAACUGACGCUGAGGAGCGAAAGCGUGGGGA